CAGAUGGUGUUUUGGUCUAUUCAGUAUGCAUGGCUUUAGCAGUAGGGAGACCCAGAUUGGUUGCCAGCUCGAAAUGUUGCGCAAGUGAUCACAUUUCCUGACCAUCUCGCCCCACUUUCAGCUGUUCUUCAGAUGUAAAAGUAGCAAGCAAAUCAGUGUGGGCAGAGGGGAAGGGAUUGCUGAGUCAUGACCUGUGGGGAGCGCACAUUCUGGUGACAAGCAGAGUUUCAAAACUUUCUCCAACUGGAUUGGUUGGCAAGCUUCGUGGAAAGCUGUGUUAUCAUGUGGGAUGUUUGACUUUCAUUCUACAUGUAACUUGGGCUGCAGUUCUGCGCACAGUUUCUUGGAAGGAACUUACUCAUUGAACAUGGUGGCGCUUACUUCUGAGUAAAACAGGUUCAGGAAUGGGCUGCUGACCUUUGAAAUCUGCAUGCCAGCA